rnacentral:rRNA from 1 species
GAUGAACGCUGGCGGCGUGCCUAAUACAUGCAAGUCGAGCGAACAGACGAGGAGCUUGCUCCUCUGACGUUAGCGGCGGACGGGUGAGUAACACGUGGAUAACCUACCUAUAAGACUGGGAUAACUUCGGGAAACCGGAGCUAAUACCGGAUAAUAUAUUGAACCGCAUGGUUCAAUAGUGAAAGACGGUUUUGCUGUCACUUAUAGAUGGAUCCGCGCCGCAUUAGCUAGUUGGUAAGGUAACGGCUUACCAAGGCAACGAUGCGUAGCCGACCUGAGAGGGUGAUCGGCCACACUGGAACUGGGACACGGUCCAGACUCCUACGGGAGGCAGCAGUAGGGAAUCUUCCGCAAUGGGCGAAAGCCUGACGGAGCAACGCCGCGUGAGUGAUGAAGGUCUUCGGAUCGUAAAGCUCUGUUAUUAGGGAAGAACAAAUGUGUAAGUAACUAUGCACGUCUUGACGGUACCUACUCAGAAAGCCACGGCUAACUACGUG